rfam:Gossypium raimondii Chr10_contig_1038, whole genome shotgun sequence.
UGUUAAAAAUUUCAUUCAUUUAUACUAUUAAAAACUGACAUAAUUGACAGACUAAUUAGACAGUGACAUUCGAUGUGCCAUGUGUACCUUAUGCUAACGUACAUGAACCACUUUUUUACAACAGAAAUGGAUAGAAUUUUUAAUA